AACUUCGGGAGGCGCGGACCGCCCGGCCCCGUGCGCCCCUCUCUUCCCUCGGCCUCAGCGCUGCUCCGUCCUCAGCCCGGAGUGAGCAGAGAGCGGACCCCGCGGUGGCGCACGGCCAGGCUGCUUCCCGUGGCCUGGGAGCGGCUGAGCUACUCUGGGCCAAGCCGGCAAAACAGUGUGCCCUUCGCCGGCCUGCGGAGCCCGCGAGGACCCCGCAGGCCGAGUGCCGCCAGCUGGGACCCCCCCCGGGCCGCUUUGAGGCCACUGGCUGAGACCCGGGCCCAGCGCCCCGCAGCGUCCGCCCUCGGCCCGCGGGGUUCUCCCUCACGCGGACCUGCCACGUGGCCUGGACGGAGGCCGUUCGGCCUGGGCAUCAGGAUGAAGCCUGGUCCUGGGUCUACACUGGGGCGGGCCCUGUCCCUGGUGAGCAGAGCCACAGCUCCCUGGUCUGCAGCUGUGAGGAUGCUCCAGGCCUAGGGACUCGGACAGCACCAGGAAGUCUCGCCUGGGAUUAGCGACAGUGUGACCCGCGAGAGAACCCCAGCGCUGCCUGGACCUGGGACUGUCUCUCCAGCGUCCUGCUAAGCAAACACCAGUGUGGCAUUUCAAGGUGACAGGUAAACACAGGGCCGCUGGUCCCGCCCAGCCGCUGUGAGGUGAAGAAGCUCUGGGGCCUGGACAGGGGUGGGGUGCGCUUUGUCCGGACUCCACGGUUCUUCCAGUGUCCCCGCCUCGGGGGCACGAGCUGAGGGGUCCUGGACCCUGCACGAUGUCAGUAUGGUAACACAGGGCAGGCGGCCUGGGCACCAGCAAGGCUGCCGGCCAUCCCGCCCCCCCCCCCGAGAGCGGGCGAGGGCUGUGGAUUCUGCCUCACUCUCUGACUAGGACAGGGGCUGGGGUUACUCCCCACUGCACCCCACCCCUGCAAGCUGGAGCUACAGGAGGGGGAGGGGGAGAGAGGGAGGGCCUUGCCUGCAAAUUGUCCCUGGAAGAGGGAAGGGGAGGGCGCAGGGCAGGGUGGGAGCCACAAACUUGACCCUGCGCCUCAGGAGUUCCGAGGCGGCCCUGCCACUCCCAUUGGGCGUCAGUUGGUCCAGCAGUUAAGCGGGGCCCAUAGCCCCAAGGCCCAUCUGGGAGAAGGGCUCCGCAGGCCUCGGGUCUGCCUGAAUCCUUUUCAGAGGGUCCCGGGCUGUCUCCAAGGGGACAAACAGGCUCACCGGCUUGCUUGGUCUCUGCUGGCCCAAGAGGACGAGCGGGUCCGGGCUCCCCAGCGAAGCGGAGGAAGACGUCGGGAGGGCGGGGGACCCGCGAGCCAGGCCCCUCCCCGACCCACCGCCUCCGAAGCCGCCUCCCUGAGCGGACCUAGGGGUCGCUGCGAGGAAUCCAAAACAAAGUUAAUCUGAUCAGCCAGGAUCAAUAGAGAAGGGAGUGAAGAUCCGAAGUUCUUUGAAGCUGGUAAAGGCAGGGGAAUAAUCCUUGCAAACAAUGGAGACCUUUAAUUCACAGGCUCCAGCUCCGAGUGCCAUUGUGUGGUGGAUUUGCUGGGCUUCAGGUUUUCCCUGGGACUGCGAGCAGGUGCAGCCGCAGAGCCGAAGUCCCCGUGUGGACCCCCUGGCCGCCCUGGCCAGUGGAAGUCACCAUUAAUCCAGCUUUGUGCACUGACAAUGGAGACUGCACACACGGGCCUUCCCCUAUAUGGCUUUACUCCAGGGCCUUUCUCUUACCUGGGCACUGGCUAUCCCAAGGAAGACACAUGGAAACCAACAAGGCAAGUUCAGUUUCACAUCUGAAAAUCAAGCAUGCACAGAGAGAAUUCUGACCUGAAGCCACGUGGACAGCACUCGAGGGGCAGCUAGGGUACGAGCACACCAGGCCUGGAGCGCAGGACACCGAGCUCUCUGCCGGGACCCAGCCCACCCUCACCUGUGUGGGCAGCAGGCUCAUCCAGGCCUCUGCAUCUGCACCUCCCACCAGAGUCUAAGAACAGCACCCUCCAGAGAGAGCCGUCCAGGACAGCCUGACUCAGAGGUCACCCAGAUGUGACAGCUCCAGCUGAGUCUCUGGCAUCUGGAGGAGGUGGGGAGGAACCACGAGGCAUCCAGGGCAGAUUUGCUCUUGGCAGGGCCUUGCUGCUCCUCUGUCCUCCUUCUGACCAAAAACUCCCCUCCCCUGCAUGGUCCCUUCAACUUUCCCUGGCCUCACUGGGUAAAUAUUUCCUAUCACAACCAUGCACACGAUACGGGCUCCCUUCUCACUCCCAGGAGUGGCAGAGAACUUGUAGAGAUGGAGCCCUACUGGUAUGCGCACGAGUGGGCAGAGAGGCUCUCCUUGCAGCAGGCUUCGCUGGCCGUGGAGUGUGGGAAGGCCAGGCGCUCCCCGAGCCGAGGACAGUGUUGCUGUGAGGAGAGCUGGGACACUCGUGGGCUUUCCCGCUGUUGCAGGAGAUCCUCCUUCACAGUGGCUUCUCACCUUCCCCAGUCCACAGCGGACACUCCCUGGUGUCCACAGAGAGCUGGGCACUGCUGUCCUCUGGUAAAACAGAGGCCCUGAGCUUGCUGCCAGGAACUCAGAACAGGAGACAGCAAGGGCGAUGCUGCCUGCGGAGGAUAAUGGGAUUUAUUAAGGCCAUUCAUCCUGAAGUCACAUGGAAAGUGCCACGUUUGAAUGAUGAAACGCAAGCCUGAAUAUCCAAAAAGCACUAGAACUCCCUUCCCAGGAAAACUGCCUUUCAAACCUUUAAAAUGAUGCCCUUUAAGGAGAACACAAACUAUCCCUGUGAUGUAGCCAUAAAGCAGAAGUAGAAAACACAACAGCUCAAUUUAAGAAAAUGUGAAAAUUACAUGGCCCUGGUGAAAUCCCAGACACAGAGUCAAGUGAAAACAGCUGUGGAUACAAAGGCCAUGUGGACAGUGGGAGGCUAGGUGUCUCGAGGGGGCGAGGAAGGAAUUCUGGCUGUGGAGCCCCUGUGCACUUGCGGAGGGCCAGUCACGUCGCAUGCUGCUGGCACUGAGCAGGUGUUGGUCACUUAGAUGACACCGGUGGCUGAAGCCCCCAACACUGUGCUGACCGAUGGGAGCAGGACUCAGACAGGAGCACAGGCAGACCUGCAGGAAGACCCUAUGGCACAGGAAGCAGAAGAGCCAGUCACCACGUGCUGCAAGUGUGGUGGCUCCUGUGAGCCUCCGGGUUGGUGAGGAUGAGACAGAGCAGGCACAGACUGCGCACAUCUCCGCCUCCUCGGCACCUGUGAAAGCCGGGCUGGUGAAUGCGUCCUCUCCAGCUCUCUCUCUCUGACAUUGCACUGGCAUGAGACAGAAAUUCUAUGCAGGAAUCAGGGUCCUCGUUCAGAUAAACGCACCCCACCCUGUCCAGAGUCACCGGCGGGUGGACAUAGGGCGGAGCUUCCACAAACAGGAAGCAACACGGCCAACCACGGGUGUCUGCAAGCAUUGACCCCUGGCUGUGUGCUGGCCCUGUUCUGGAGUGAGAGCCCUGCUAAGGCAGGCCCUCUAGCUGCCCGCGGUCGACCUGGCUGGAUGGGGGGACUUAAGGGACCUGUUCUAGCUGUGCCAGCCCCACGGGCUGCUCUCCCCGGGGACAGCUUCGCAGCCUGUCAGUUGCACCAGCGGCCGCCUCUGCAGCCCAAGGCACCCGACUGAACGCCCUCAAGUCCCAGUCAGAAGAAAAACUAUGCCUGGGAGAAAACGCAAGAUGAGUACGACUCCUCUUGCUUUAAUUAAGUUUGAUCGGAGGUUGUGCUGCAUCUAGGAAAGCCAGAGCCAAUUUUCGCAGUGUGGUUUGCAAAGCAAAGGCGUGUCUUCGAAGACUACAGGAGAACACAUGUCCUAAACGUGGCCCGGGGUUACCGAGCUGUACCUUCAGGCAGUUCACAUGGAGAGCAAAUGCUCUGCGGCUCCUAGGGGCUCAGGCUCCAAACCAGAGCAAAUCGUCUGCUUUUCAAUUCCUGGCAGCUCAGAUUCUCCUGCUAGCUUGGAAGAUGCCCGGCGUGGGUCCAGCUCCCCAGGGCAGACGUCCGGGACGUGUAAUCUGGAUCCAGGAUCAGAUCUUCGCCAGCUCUCCAGACCACUGCCCUGCUGCCUGUCCUGCAGACCCAAGGUGACCAGUUAGCCUGGAAAGGUGGCAUCAGAGGAGGCCAAACUCAGGACUGAGCACCCGGCAAGGGAGUCAAGAUGGUGGCUGUGGAGGGGCCACCUCAGUUCACUGCUGUGGGAGAGGACAGGAGCAUGCAGAGUCUUCUGCAGAGCAGCGUCAGAGUAGCAUCAAUUUCUUUAAAUUAAAUACAUUAAUUUAAAUUAAUAUGCACAGUUAUUUACUUUCUGCUGAUGGAUGGAAGCAAAGGUCAUGAUUUGUUAAAGAGCUGAUGAAAGUUAAGAGUUUUCCACAAAAAAGUGCAUACAGGGAUACACCAAUAGUUUUGCAUAAAAUAUGCAAACAUAUAUGUAAAAUAAAUUUUUUCUUCUGUAGGGCAGCCAUAAUACUAUAUAUAAAAGACCUAACAAUAAAACAUUGAAAAACACAAGAGAAUUUUGAGAAAUAUGAAAUGAGCUAAAGGAAUACCUAAGUAAUUAAGAAGACAUCCACUUCUCUGGAUGUGAAGAAUCCGUACUGGUGGCCGUGGCGUCGGCAUUGAGCGGGGAGUCUGGUGCAAGAGAUUGUAUGAGAUGGUGUAUGAGAUUUGACAAGGUGUGGGGUGGCAUUCCUGCUGGUGUUCCACAUCAAAUGUCAUGUUUGCUGGGGUAUUCUGUUUUAGGCACAUACAGAUGGGAAUGUGAAGAGACAUAUUCACUACAUACAUUACAUACAUACAUUGUAUUAGUCAGCUUUCUCAUUGAUGCACACAGUACCAAAACCCACAGCUUAAAGGAGGAGAAGUGCAACUUGGCUCAUUUUUUGAAGGGAUUCAAUCCAAGGUCAGCUGGCUCCAAGGCAAGAACAUCAUGGCGGAAGGGUCUGGUGGAGCAAAGAUGCUUCGUUCAUGGUGGCCAGGAAGCUGAGCAGGGGAAUAGGCCAGAGAGGAAGGGUCCUAGGGCCAGAUCUAGAUCCCAAGAGCACACCCCCAUGACCUACUCAGACACAGCUAAAGUGUGUUCCACUUUGGGAUCAGAUCCCAAAGCCAAUCAAGGUGACACCCCACCCUAACCUCUAUAGCUAUGUAUCAACAUACACAUGUAUAUACACAUAAAAGUCAGAUAACAUGGAGAUGGAGGCAAUAAACAGAGAAAGUUGAAAAUCUGCAGCCUAACUCACUUUAUUUGUCAGCUUUCCAGUCACUGGGAUACAAUACUGGACACCAACAAAUUAUAAGGAGGACAGGUUUAAUUUGGCUCAGGGUUUGGGGGAUUCAGUCCACGGUCAGCUGGCUCCAAGGCAGAAAUAUGGUGGAAGGGAUAGCCAAAGAAAGCUGCUGCUCACCGCAUGGCGGCCAGGAAACAGAGAGAGGGGAGGAGCCAGGGACAGCAAUCCACCCUUCCUGGCCACACUCCAGUGACCACCUCCAAUCAGACCCCACCCCCAACAGCACAUUCAUCCAUGAACUUAUCCACGACUAACCUACUGACGAGUACAGUGCUCCUAAGACCCUAUCACCUUCCAAAAGCCCACCUCUGAAUACAUGAGACUUCGGG
rnacentral:lncRNA from 1 species